rnacentral:rRNA from 1 species
UGCAGAGAACUUUACCAGAGAUGGAUUGGUGCCUUCGGGAACUCUGACACAGGUGCUGCAUGGCUGUCGUCAGCUCGCGUCGUGAGAUGUUGGGUUAAGUCCGUAACGAGCGCAACCCUUGUCCUUAGUUACCAGCACGUUAUGGUGGGCACUCUAAGGAGACUGCCGGUGCAAACCGGAGGAAGGUGGGGAUGACGUCAAGUCAUCAUGGCCCUUACGGCCUGGGCUACACACGUGCUACAAUGGUCGGUACAAAGGGUUGCCAAGCCGCGAGGUGGAGCUAAUCCCAUAAAACCGAUCGUAGUCCGGAUCGCAGUCUGCAACUCGACUGCGUGAAGUCGGAAUCGCUAGUAAUCGUGAAUCAGAAUGUCACGGUGAAUACGUUCCCGGGCCUU